GCGCCGUGCAGCCCUCAGGAAAUGGCGGCGCUGCGGAGCGGGCGCGUGACGCUGUGUGUCAUGGCGGCGCGGCCCGUGAGCGGCGCUUCUUGCUGCUGGAAAUGACGGACCGAGAAAGGACGGGACGCGGUACCCAGCUGGGCGGCUCCGAGGUCGGCUCCGCUCGGCUGGGGCGAACCUGCGGGCAGCCGUGCCCCGUAGGCGUGAUGCCCUCCAGUGGCAGCCGUGUGUGCUGGCGUGCUGAACCGAGGGGAGUGGGAAGAGUGCUCCGAAGUGCUUCGUGUCUCCGGAUGCAAAGAUAUUUCUGUUGCUGCCUUAGCAGUCUCAUAUGCCAUCCCUGGUGAUGACCACUGAGUCCUGCUCUGAAAAGCUGGCUGCUCCUGUGAUCUGCAGAUUCAUUGAGCCAGCAACAUAGUGGCAGAGCUGUUUGUUACCCUUAGAGACUCAGUUGCACAGUGUGCAAGUACCUCAUAGCUGGCUCAGCAAAUCAGUCCUUGCAGCGCACCUGUGAGGUGGUUGUCUGGGUUACUGUAACAUCAGAGAUGAGCAGCUCAUUCUGGAGCCAGAAUACAGGUCUUUCUCUCAUUGUAAAGAGCGUGGCGUUCAGUUUUGGCAGAUAAAGGUUAAAUAUGCUCCACUGUUUGGAAGCUGGACCUUAAAUCAAGGCAUACGUUUUUAAUUGAAGGGAAAAAAAGGUGUUAAAACAACCCAGUGGUGUGGUGCUUUCUGACCACUUUGUUCACUGUACACUUUAGCUGCUAUUCUCUGGUACAGCCUUUCAGUAUGUUAGCAUUGCUCACCUGGCCACCUUGUGCCCUAUGUGAUUGCAGCCUACAGUGAUUGCAGGCUUAGUCACCUGUUUGUAGGAGACACAAGUUGUGCUCAUUGCAAGGCAUUGAAAUUGACCUUCCUCAUAGGAGGUUGGACAAGAUAGUCAUAACAGCACUUUUCUGUCUUGGAAGUCUGUGAAUUCUUGGUGGGCUACAAAUGAAGCUAUAUUUGCAUAGUUCAGUGCUGCUAAACUCGUUUAGUUUUCCAAGCUGCAAGUCAGUAUUCAAGUGAAGAAGGUACUAAUCACUGCUGUAAGAGCAUAUUCCACUCCUGUUUUCAUGGUUUCUUCAAAACUUAUUUUGGGGAAAUGCAUUUCUUCUCUUAAUUUCUCAGCUAUUUGGAGAAAAACAGACAAGCUUUUGGCACACAGUUCUACAUCAAAUCUAAAUUUUGCCAAGCUUUAUUUAUAAGAACCAUGUCUACUGUAGAGACAAUCUGUUCCUGACAAACCCCUAGAAUAGAAAAUUUCAACCAAUUAUUUUUGUAAUGAAUGUACAAUAAAUCUGUUGAAAAGCUA